GAGGGUAUAACUCUGUGGUAGAGCACAUGCUUAGCAUGCAUGAGGUCCUGGGUUCAGUCCCCAGUACCCCCA
rnacentral:tRNA from 1 species